rnacentral:rRNA from 1 species
CACAAGCGGUGGAUGAUGUGGUUUAAUUCGAUGCAACGCGAAAACCUUACCCACCUUCGACAUGGCAGGAAUCCUAAAGAGAUUUGGAGUGCUCGAAAGAGAACCUGCACACAGGUGCUGCAUGGCUGUCGUCAGCUCGUGUCGUGAGAUGUUGGGUUAAGUCCCGCAACGAGCGCAACCCUUGCCAUUAGUUGCUACGAAAGGGCACUCUAAUGGGACUGCCGGUGACAAACCGGAGGAAGGUGGGGAUGACGUCAAGUCCUCAUGGCCCUUAUAGGUGGGGCUACACACGUCAUACAAUGGCCGGUACAGAGGGUAGCCAACCCGCGAGGGGGAGCCAAUCCCACAAAGCCGGUCGUAGUCCGGAUCGCAGUCUGCAACUCGACUGCGUGAAGUCGGAAUCGCUAGUAAUCGCGGAUCAGCAUGUCGCGGUGAAUACGUUCCCGGGUCUU